GCAUGCCCCAAGUCAGGUACCGGUUUAAAAAGUGCAUUUUAUACUAAAUUAUUUUAUGUUUUUAGACCAUAAAAGGUCCCAAAAUUUUUUAAAAAAUCUUUUAAAGACUUCGCUCCCCUUUCCAAAAUCCUGGAUCUGCCCCUGUUAACUAUUGAGAUGAUCUCUGAAUACUGGCAACAAUCACAUAACCCCAAUACAAACAUAUAAAUUCUUUUCCUUUUAAUGGUUGAUGGGUUAAAUCAAGGAUUUUUAUAGUUACUACAUAUACUAUACAAAUCCUUGGUUAAAUUGAAGUUCACAUGAAUCUAAUGAGGUAUAAUUAGGUACAAUACCAAUAGAGGCAGAAUGAUCAUAAUUUUUUUUGAUUAUUUGGUUAUUUUUUUU
rnacentral:lncRNA from 1 species